AGAGUUUGAUCCUGGCUCAGGACGAACGCUGGCGGCGUGCCUAAUACAUGCAAGUCGAACGCUUCUUUUUCCACCGGAGCUUGCUCCACCGGAAAAAGAGGAGUGGCGAACGGGUGAGUAACACGUGGGUAACCUGCCCAUCAGAAGGGGAUAACACUUGGAAACAGGUGCUAAUACCGUAUAACAAUCAAAACCGCAUGGUUUUGAUUUGAAAGGCGCUUUCGGGUGUCGCUGAUGGAUGGACCCGCGGUGCAUUAGCUAGUUGGUGAGGUAACGGCUCACCAAGGCCACGAUGCAUAGCCGACCUGAGAGGGUGAUCGGCCACAUUGGGACUGAGACACGGCCCAAACUCCUACGGGAGGCAGCAGUAGGGAAUCUUCGGCAAUGGACGAAAGUCUGACCGAGCAACGCCGCGUGAGUGAAGAAGGUUUUCGGAUCGUAAAACUCUGUUGUUAGAGAAGAACAAGGAUGAGAGUAACUGUUCAUCCCUUGACGGUAUCUAACCAGAAAGCCACGGCUAACUACGUGCCAGCAGCCGCGGUAAUACGUAGGUGGCAAGCGUUGUCCGGAUUUAUUGGGCGUAAAGCGAGCGCAGGCGGUUUCUUAAGUCUGAUGUGAAAGCCCCCGGCUCAACCGGGGAGGGUCAUUGGAAACUGGGAGACUUGAGUGCAGAAGAGGAGAGUGGAAUUCCAUGUGUAGCGGUGAAAUGCGUAGAUAUAUGGAGGAACACCAGUGGCGAAGGCGGCUCUCUGGUCUGUAACUGACGCUGAGGCUCGAAAGCGUGGGGAGCAAACAGGAUUAGAUACCCUGGUAGUCCACGCCGUAAACGAUGAGUGCUAAGUGUUGGAGGGUUUCCGCCCUUCAGUGCUGCAGCUAACGCAUUAAGCACUCCGCCUGGGGAGUACGACCGCAAGGUUGAAACUCAAAGGAAUUGACGGGGGCCCGCACAAGCGGUGGAGCAUGUGGUUUAAUUCGAAGCAACGCGAAGAACCUUACCAGGUCUUGACAUCCUUUGACCACUCUAGAGAUAGAGCUUCCCCUUCGGGGGCAAAGUGACAGGUGGUGCAUGGUUGUCGUCAGCUCGUGUCGUGAGAUGUUGGGUUAAGUCC
rnacentral:rRNA from 1 species